GCUCCACGCCUCCGCGUGCAGAACGGCCGCGCAUGCGCGCCGGCGCCGCUGAAGCCUCUGCCCGCAGGGGUUGUGCCCGUGUCACAGCCGGGCGCCCCCUCUCGGGCUCCUGCCCCGCGCCCGGCUGAGCCCAGGGGAGGGGCCCAGGCACUUGGCACGUGUCUACUGCUAAUACUGACACGUGCGAAGCGGCAGAGCCAGGCCCUGCCCUGCCCUGCCCCACUCCACAGCAUCACCCCACACCUGACACAAAGCGUUCCUGGGCGCGGCGGGGACGGGGGCGCUGUGGGGCGGCGCGAGGAAGGGCCAGAGCAGGGCUGCCCCGACCCCCGGCCCUGCCCGCAGGUUGGCGCAGAUCAGCCUGAAGAGCUACGACCCGCCGAAGGACGAGCGCUGCUCCUGCACCGUCGAGUCGGGCCCUAGGGGUGCCCGGGCGGGUCGGCCCCGGCUGCACGGACCCCCACCCUGGGGCCCUCGCCGUGAGGGGAGGUGCGGGCAGACACCUCAGAGCCGGGGCACGUGCCGGCAGCCGUGGCCAGGUGUCGUGGUCACGGUCUCCCAUCGAGGCGUGUCGCGCCAGCCGUGCUGCCUCCCUUUGCAGGGUCAAGGUCUUGGCGUGCGCGCCAGGGGACCGGCAGCACCGCGAUGAGGCCACAGCCGUGGACCUCCUGCACGUGGACAUCGAGGCCCUGCGGACGCUCGACAAGAACAACCAGCGGGGCGAGUGGCCUGGCCACGAGCUGGCGUUGCCACGACAGCCUCCUUCCCCAUCCUCCAUCGGGGUGCACGUCGGACACGGCCCCGCAGCAGGACUCGAACCCGCAGCCUCAGCAGGCAGCGAGCUUCAAAGCUUUUAGCCGGAGGCGAGGCCGGGUUCUUGAAAACAACCGUGGUUAAAUGCAAUGAGUGCAGCUCGACGGCUGUCGCUGUCUGGGCUGCGGUCGGACCGGCUUGCAGGUCCUAGAGGCAGGCUGCUGGUUUCUAGCUGGAUGUAGGAAAGGAGCGUGGCCUUUCCGCCUCGACUUCCCCUCGGGUACGUCUGCCGCACCUCCUGCUGCUGCUCAGGGAGCGAGCGUGCGGUGCCACUGGCCGAGUAACGCUCGAGGAGGAAUUUAGUCAAGGAGAAAGUGCAGCUAAGAAGUACGAUGCCUUCCUAGCCUCGGAGUCCCUCAUCAGGCAGAUUCCUCGUAUCCUGGGUCCGGGUCUAAACAAAGCGGGCCAGUUUCCCUUUCUCCUCAUGCACAACGAGACCCUGGUGGCCAAGGUGAGAUCUACCAUCAAAUUUCCCAUGAAGGUAAAUGCAGGAACCUGAAACCCAGCAGCCAGUGGCCUGGUGGCAGUGUGCCAGUCACUUGGCUAUGUACAUCAGGGCUAGACUGCAGGUGUCCAGCUUCUUCCUCCAAGGACUGCCAGUAAUAUUCAUCUAAUGAAUCACUUGCUGUGUAUUUAAGGAAUAGUCCAGAGCAUUCUUUUGUUACCCCAAAGGGAGAAGGAAAGUUUUUUGAAAGACAUCAAACACAUGAUUUGGGGAAGAGACCUAUAUUGCAAUGGGCUGGGUGCCAUCGAGGCUUAUUGAUGUCAGUGGGAGCCGAGGGCAUCUUGCAUAGUAAAAGGUACUGACCUUGCAGGAAUAUGGCCAGCUUUCAGUGAGACGUUAGAAGAGGUUUGCACCACACAGAUGAAUGCAGCACUGCACCUGUGGUUUCAGACAUGGUGAAAGAGGUGUUGGAUUACUUAUUAGGUCAAAGCAACCCCGAUUCAGAGAUUUGUUCUUGAUCAGUCUGGUGCGCCACUCAUCCAAGCUUUACUGUCAAUCAUUCUCCAAGGCAUUAGGGAUAUGUUUGGGGGCUUUGCUAAGUCAGGCUUGAUUCAGAGCGAGUCUGCCUAAAGAGCACUAUUCCUGAUCAGCCUGCAUUGGUCAACUGCAAGCCAGUUGUUGAAUGUAUUGAAGCCAGCUGGCAUGAGCUACACAGUGACAUGAACUGAAAGGUCUGAUAAGGCAAGGGAUGGAGGUUUUUAAAAUGCCUCACUGAAUAUAUGUUGCAUUACUGGAUCCAUUCUCUGUAAAGCUUCAACAGUUCAGAAUUGCUACAGUACGGUUUGCAGGUUAAAGAACUGGGGACGUUUUAAACCCACUGGUGAGUUCUCCCCUGAAAUCUGGCAAAGCUGCAUCACCCUGGGGGUUUUCCUGGUAGCUGCUUGUGCCCUGAGGUGCCAUAGUUUUUUCACAUGCCUAAUUCAGCAUCCCUUGCAAAAUCUACUGCUAAUAUUGAAUGAGUGACCUUGCUGUCCCUGUGCUCUGCCUGGCUUGUGAAGAUGACCGAGGAUGGGCUAUAACAUUCACCUGGCCAUCAACUUCCUGGUGUUCUUGCUGAAGAACUGGCAGAACAUGCGUGUGUUAUAUACCAAGAGCACCCUGGGGAAGCUGCAGCACCUCUACUAAGCGGGCAACAAUAAACGGUUAUAGAGCAA